UCAGGCCUAACACAUGCAAGUCGAACGGCAGCACGGGCUUCGGCCUGGUGGAGAGUGGCGAACGGGUGAGUAAUACAUCGGAACGUGCCCUGUCGUGGGGGAUAACUAGUCGAAAGAUUAGCUAAUACCGCAUACGACCUGAGGGUGAAAGCGGGGGACCGGUAACGGCCUCGCGCGAUAGGAGCGGCCGAUGUCUGAUUAGCUAGUUGGUGGGGUAAGAGCCUACCAAGGCGACGAUCAGUAGCUGGUCUGAGAGGACGAUCAGCCACACUGGGACUGAGACACGGCCCAGACUCCUACGGGAGGCAGCAGUGGGGAAUUUUGGACAAUGGGGGCAACCC
rnacentral:rRNA from 1 species